rnacentral:snRNA from 1 species
GGUAAAUAACAUUUUCUGAAA